CGCGGUAAUACGGAGGGUGCGAGCGUUAAUCGGAAUUACUGGGCGUAAAGCGCGCGUAGGCGGUUUGUUAAGUCGGAUGUGAAAGCCCUGGGCUUAACCUGGGAACUGCAUUCGAUACUGGCCAACUAGAGUGCGAGAGAGGGAGGUAGAAUUCCACGUGUAGCGGUGAAAUGCGUAGAUAUGUGGAGGAAUACCGGUGGCGAAGGCGGCCUCCUGGCUCGACACUGACGCUGAGGUGCGAAAGCGUGGGGAGCGAACAGGAUUAGAUACCCUGGUAGUCCACGCCGUAAACGAUGAGUGCUAAGUGU
rnacentral:rRNA from 1 species